rnacentral:rRNA from 1 species
UGCUUUACACAUGCAAGUCGAACGGCAGCAUAACCUUCGGGUUGAUGGCGAGUGGCGAACGGGUGAGUAAUACAUCGGAACGUGCCUAUUAGUGGGGGAUAACUGGUUGAAAGAUCGGCUAAUACCGCAUAAGCUCUGAGGAGGAAAGCUGGGGAUCCGCAAGGACCUGGCGCUAGUAGAGUGGCCGAUGGUCGAUUAGCUAGUUGGUGAGGUAAAUGCUUACCAAGGCAAUGAUCGAUAGCUGUUCUGAGAGGAAGAUCAGCCACACUGGGACUGAGACACGGCCCAGACUCCUACGGGAGGCAGCAGUGGGGAAUUUUGGACAAUGGGGGAAACCCUGAUCCAGCUUCGCCGCGUGAAUGAAGAAGGCCUUAGGGUUGUAAAGUUC